UGUCAAUGAUGAUAUCUUGUAAGGCUUGUUUCUCAAAACAUUCGCAGUGGCCGCCUAAGAGCUUUCGCCUUCGCCAGGCUUGAGAGCUAGUGCUGUUAUUUUCCUUCCUUGGAUGUCUGAGACA
rfam:Cicer arietinum chromosome Ca8, whole genome shotgun sequence.